AGUGGGGAUGACAGAUGGUGGGGUCUUAAGUAGACUUUAACCCCACCAAUCAAUGCUUUGUGCUUGCGCCAUCUCUAUAUAUGAACAUCUGAACCCUCUUAUCCUUCCAUGGCAGCAUGGUUUCAACUGCUCUGUCUAGAAAGUGGGUUCUUUCUCUCUCUCUUUUUAAUUGAAUCUGAAAUGGUUUUAUUUUGUAUUUCGAUUUUGCUUCCCUUCUACCGAUGGUGAAAUCACCUGUCUUCGGGAGAAGAAGAAUGGUGACCCUGAUUUCUCUGUCCAAUCAACAGGUAUCCAUUUAUAAAGCCUACAGUAUAAAGUUGUUUGUUGUUUCAAUAAGGGCUUUUUGUUUGCAGUUUUUCUUGCUUGGUCUACUUUCAUGAUCAUUAAAAUUGAUUUGAUGCAUUGAAAACCUAAAUCAGAAAAUGUGAAUCGAUGUGAGGGUAACAAAGUGAAGUUUCCUUCGAUGAAACUGAUUAUUUUGGUUAUAAUCUGGUUUUCUUUAUUCUUCUCUAUCUUCUUCAUUCUUUCUCGAUGUUCUUCGUGGCCAUGAACAGGUAUAAUUUCUUUUAUCAAAUUAAUUUUAACCUAGUAGAUAUAUGUGCCUGUUUAUAUUUUUUGAAACUAAUUUCAAGUACUGAAAUGGCUGAAACUUAUGUUGUUUAAUGUUCUUUCUGAUUAACACUUUGGAAAAAUAGCGAUUAAUUUGAACAAGGAUUAUGUGGAAUCAUCUUAGGAGUGUAUCCUAAGGCUAAUUAAAGGCACUUUAUAUUGAGAAAGUAAGAGGGCCUACCUCAAGAAUCUUUAUUUUUUCUGCUCAAAUCUCUUACCCCCACAUAAGCUAAUUCAUCAAUUGGAUUUUCAGCUUCAGAAUAUUCAAAAGGAAAUAUGUUUAUCACUUAAAGAAGUUUGACUUUGCCAUGAAUAAUUAUUUUCCAAAGUUAUGUCUGCUACUGUUCUCUGAAUUUCAACUUUUAUUUAUUUGUUUUAUGAAUAAGUUUAACAUAUUACUGGGUAUGCAGAACGUAGACAGUGCUCUUAUCUUUGCCAUCUUUUGUUUUGUUGGAUCAGUUCUUGGAUUGCUGAUGAUAAAAGGAUUUAUACAAAAUUUUAGAAGGUUUCGUCGACCGUGUUUUCAAUCAGUAUGGUUAUGAUUUUAGGUGUUAAUUUAAUGACCAGCUUUGAAGCUUUUGAUGUUCAGAGAGAGUAUACACUUGAAAAUAUGAAAAGAGAAAUUAUAUUGAAUACCUUAAAUUAAGGGGUUCUAAGCGAAAUUAUCUAAAAUAAUUAGGGUUAAACAAAAAUAUCCUUUUGUGUAAAACGACCAAAUUGCUCCUAUAUAUUCACCAAGAAUUUUUCAUUUAAACCAUGUUAUUUUCCAAUGGUUUUACUGUGCCAAUUCAAAUAAUUUUGCUUUUCCCAUUGGCGUUCCACAGGUGAAGAGAUUUUCAUUGAUUUUCGUAUUUUUCGGUGAUCAAAAAUGACAAAGAAGGAAACAUAUUGAAGGCAAACUACGAAUCCCGAUGAGUCCAGAUACUUCCAGACAGAGGUUAUAUGACAUGCACAGUGUAUCGCAUUGUUCAAGAUUACGUCUACACUAACCUCGGAUCAACUUCGACUGUUUGAGAAGACAUGUUUUGGGCAUUUUCUUCGUCUAUCUAAUACCAAAUUUUCCAAAGUGUUGGUUUAUGUAUUUCUUCUGGUUUUGUGACAACUACAUUGGCCUUUCAUCAGAGAUGAGUUAUGGUUUACGGUUAACGAGGUUGAUGUGAGAUUCAGUCUGUUUGAGUUUUCUUUGAUGACAGGGCUAUCAUUUAGUCAGCUCACUGCUAUUUUAUCGUAUAUUUCCCGCUCCUUCGAACAUAGGAUCAGAGAUACAUACUUUCGGGCUUGUUUGAAGGUGUUGUAUCAUGAUAUAGAGCGUGUUUUUUCUGUCAGGCUAAGGGGAGAUGACAACAUCGACGUCGUCAAGAUGGCCUUACUGUACUGUCUUCAUAUGGUGUUAUUAGGAAAUGAUCAACAAAAAAAAAUAUCUAUCAAAUACUUACAGUUGGUUGAUCAUCUGGAUGAGUUUAAUUCCUAUCUCUAGGUCGUUAUCGUGUGACAGAUGACGUACGAGUCGAUGUUGCAAGCAAGUGACAAAGUCUGCUCUGGAUGGAUGUCUGAAAUGUAUAAAUAUAACUUUUACGGA